rnacentral:lncRNA from 1 species
CCUCACGAACGUCGCCAGGUUGAGCGAAACCGGUCCCGUAGACAUCGAAGAACGUCCAGGCAGAGAGGAUCCCGCCGAAUCAGGUCCGGUAGUUGUCACGGCGGACUAUGGCGAUGGAGGCGAAGAUGCCCGGGACGCCAUUUCCGACGUCGAGGAGUAUGACGGAGGUCAUGGACGGCGUGAGGUUGAGAGCGGAGGUGAGCUUGGUGGUGACGAGAGAGAAGUGGUCCUGGGCGGCUUUGAUGAGGAUGCUAGGGGAAGAGGCAGAAGCGAUUAGGUUUAUA